rnacentral:rRNA from 1 species
AGUGGCGAACGGGUGAGUAAUACAUCGGAACGUGCCCAGUCGUGGGGGAUAACUACGCGAAAGCGUAGCUAAUACCGCAUACGAUCUCUGGAUGAAAGUGGGGGACCGCAAGGCCUCACGCUCCUGGAGCGGCCGAUAACUGAUUAGCUAGUUGGUGGGGUAAAGGCCUACCAAGGCGACGAUCGGUAGCUGGUCUGAGAGGACGACCAGCCACACUGGGACUGAGACACGGCCCAGACUCCUACGGGAGGCAGCAGUGGGGAAUUUUGGACAAUGGGCGCAAGCCUGAUCCAGCAAUGCCGCGUGAGUGAAGAAGGCCUUCGGGUUGUAAAGCUCUUUUGUCAGGGAAGAAACGGCUGGGGCUAACAUCUCCGGCUAAUGACGGUACCUGAAGAAUAAGCACCGGCUAACUACGUGCCAGCAGCCGCGGUAAUA